rnacentral:rRNA from 1 species
AUGUAUUUGUCUAUCUUAUUUUAUACGACUUUAUUUCAUUACCACACUGAUAUCAACCAUGUAUCCUUGUGUAGGUAUUUUGUUGUUGUUGAUGACAUAUGGGAUGUGGAUACAUGGCAUGUUCUUAAGCAUGCAUUUCCGGUGAAAAGUUCAGGCAGUAUCAUAAUCACUACUACUCGUAUAAAUGAUGUUGCUGAAUCAUGUCGUUCAACACCAUUUAGUGGAGAUAUUUAUUGCAUAAGGCCUCUUGACAUGGUGCACUCCAGGCAAUUGUUUUACACAAGAUUAUUCAACGUCGAAGAAAAUUGCCCCUCAUACCUUAAAAAGGUUUCUGAGCAUAUUUUGAGAAAAUGUGCUGGAUUGCCUUUGGCAAUCAUUGCUAUAUCUGGUUUGUUGGCUAAUACUGAAAGGACAGAGGGUCCAUGGAAACAAGUUGAAGAUUCGAUUGGUCGAGCACUUCAAAGAAAUCCCAGUGUUGAAGGAAUGAUGAAGAUACUAUCACUUAGUUACUUUGAUCUGCCUGCUCAUCUGAAAUCUUGUCUUUUAUGUUUGAGUAUAUUCCCUGAAGAUUCUGUUAUCAGUAAGAAAAUUUUGAUAAAGAGGUGGAUUGCUGAAAGAUUAAUU